UAUUAAAAGUUUUAUCCAUUUCUACUAUUAAAAUCUGACAUGACUAACAGAAUAACCAAACAAUGUCACGUGAUGUACCAUGUGUACCUCACGUUGACAUAUAAGGACUAGUUUUUAACAGUAGAAAUAAAUAAUUUUUUUAACA
rfam:Gossypium raimondii Chr11_contig_12, whole genome shotgun sequence.